rnacentral:rRNA from 1 species
GGGCUUAACACAUGCAAGUCGAGGGGCAUCAGGAACAUAGCUUGCUUUCUUUGCUGGCGACCGGCGCACGGGUGAGUAACACGUAUCCAACCUGCCCUUUACUCGGGGAUAGCCUUUCGAAAGAAAGAUUAAUACCCGAUAGUAUAAUGAUUCCGCAUGGUUUCAUUAUUAAAGGAUUCCGGUAAAGGAUGGGGAUGCGUUCCAUUAGGUUGUUGGUGAGGUAACGGCCCACCAAGCCUUCGAUGGAUAGGGGUUCUGAGAGGAAGGUCCCCCACAUUGGAACUGAGACACGGUCCAAACUCCUACGGGAGGCAGCAGUGAGGAAUAUUGGUCAAUGGGCGCUAGCCUGAACCAGCCAAGUAGCGUGAAGGAUGAAGGCUCUAUGGGUCGUAAACUUCUUUUAUAUAAGAAUAAAGUGCAGUAUGUAUACUGUUUUGUAUGUAUUAUAUGAAUAAGGAUCGGCUAACUCCGUGCCAGCAGCCGCGGUAAUACGGAGGAUCCGAGCGUUAUCCGGAUUUAUUGGGUUUAAAGGGAGCGUAGGUGGACUGGUAAGUCAGUUGUGAAAGUUUGCGGCUCAACCGUAAAAUUGCAGUUGAUACUGUCAGUCUUGAGUACAGUAGAGGUGGGCGGAAUUCGUGGUGUAGCGGUGAAAUGCUUAGAUAUCACGAAGAACUCCGAUUGCGAAGGCAGCUCACUGGACUGCAACUGACACUGAUGCUCGAAAGUGUGGGUAUCAAACAGGAUUAGAUACCCUGGUAGUCCACACAGUAAACGAUGAAUACUCGCUGUUUGCGAUAUACAGUAAGCGGCCAAGCGAAAGCAUUAAGUAUUCCACCUGGGGAGUACGCCGGCAACGGUGAAACUCAAAGGAAUUGACGGGGGCCCGCACAAGCGGAGGAACAUGUGGUUUAAUUCGAUGAUACGCGAGGAACCUUACCCGGGCUUAAAUUGCAGUGGAAUGAUGUGGAAACAUGUCAGUGAGCAAUCACCGCUGUGAAGGUGCUGCAUGGUUGUCGUCAGCUCGUGCCGUGAGGUGUCGGCUUAAGUGCCAUAACGAGCGCAACCCUUAUCUUCAGUUACUAACAGGUCAUGCUGAGGACUCUGGAGAGACUGCCGUCGUAAGAUGUGAGGAAGGUGGGGAUGACGUCAAAUCAGCACGGCCCUUACGUCCGGGGCUACACACGUGUUACAAUGGGGGGUACAGAAGGCAGCUAGCGGGUGACCGUAUGCUAAUCCCAAAAGCCUCUCUCAGUUCGGAUCGAAGUCUGCAACCCGACUUCGUGAAGCUGGAUUCGCUAGUAAUCGCGCAUCAGCCACGGCGCGGUGAAUACGUUCCCGGGCCUUGUACACACCGCCCGUCAAGCCAUGUGAGCCGGGGGUACCUGAAGUACGUAACCGCAAGGAUCGUCCUAGGGUAAAACUGGUGACUG